rnacentral:rRNA from 1 species
GACGUAGGGGGCAAGCGUUGUCCGGAAUUACUGGGCGUAAAGAGCUCGUAGGUGGUUUGUCGCGUUGUCCGUGAAAUCCCUCGGCUUAACCGGGGAACUGCGUCUGAUACUGGAUGGCUUGAGUUUGGGAGAGGGAUGCGGAAUUCCAGGUGUAGCGGUGAAAUGCGUAGAUAUCUGGAGGAACACCGGUGGCGAAGGCGGCAUCCUGGACCAACACUGACGCUGAGUGAGCGAAAGCCAGGGGAGCAAACGGG